rnacentral:lncRNA from 1 species
GGACAGCUGGCUUAACCUGGGUCUCACUUCUAACAUAGGAGUCAUAUUAUUAAAAAUGCCUACCUCAUGGGGUAGUGGUGAGGAUUGAAUGAAUUAGUACACGUGAAGUGCUAGCAGAACACUUGAGACAUAGUAAACAUAAGCGUUCAAUACAUAUUGGCUGUUGAAAUAUUUGUCAGCUACACCCCCCACCUGAAUGCAAGCAUUUGGCCACUUCCUGUAUUGAGAAGUGAUGAGGAAGGAACUGGAGAUGGGAUGAGAGGAAAAGCUGGUAAAACCUCCCCACAUGCCAGGAAUAACUCUGUGCCCACCCCACCUCCAGAUGCUGCCAUCCCCUUCUCCUCCCAGCUUCUCCCCACCUGCACCUACCUCUGUGUUGGAUGGGCCCCCUGCACCUGUCCUGCCUGGGGACAAAGCCCUGGACUUCCCCGGGUUCCUGGACAUGAUGGCACCUCGACUCAGGCCGAUGCGUCCACCACCUCCCCCGCCGGCUAAAGCCCCGGAUCCUGGCCACCCAGAUCCCCUCACCUGAAGGCCAGGGAAGCCUUGACCCCCAGUGAUGCUGCUGUCCCUAUCUUCAAGCUGUCAGACCACACCAUCAAUGAUCCAGAGCAACACAGCCAAAAGCUGGAAUCGCCCUUAUUUCCACCCUCACCUCCAAGGGUGGAAACUUGCCCCUUCCCAUUUCUGGAGCUGGAACCCACUCCUUUUUUUCCCAUUGUUCUAUCAUCUCUAGGACCGGAACUACUACUUUCUCUUCUGUCAUCACCCUAUCUAGGGUGGUGAAAUGCCUGAAAUCUCUGGGGCUGGAAACCAUCCAUCAAGGUCUCUAGUGGUUCUGGCCCACCUCUUUCCCCACCCUGGCUCCAUGACCCACCCCACUCUGGAUGCCAGGGUCACUGGGGUUGGGCUGGGGAGAGGAACAGGCCUUGGGAAUCAGGAGCUGGAGCCAGGAUUCGAAGCAGCUGUAAUGGUCUGAGCGGAUUUAUUGACAAUGAAUAAAGGGCACGAAGGCCAGGCCAGGGCCUGGGCCUCUUGUGCUAAGAGGGCAGGGGGCCUACGGUGCUAUUGCUUUAGGGGCCCACCACGGGCAGGGGCCUGCUCCCAGCUGCCACGCUCUAUCACAUGGAGCGAGGUGUUGGGGAAGGCGGGGCAGGCAGCCUGUUGCAGGCAGGGGAAGGAGAAGAGACUGAGGGGCUGUGACCUCUCCUGAGGCCCCCAGCCUGAGACUGUGCAACUCCAGGUGGAAGUAGAGCUGGUCCCUCAGCUGGGGGGCAGUGCUGUUCAGUGGAGGGGAGGGCUUUCACGCCCACCCACCCCCUGGCCCUGCCAGCUGGUAGUCCAUCAGCACAAUGAAGGAGACUUGGAGAAGAGGAAGAAUAACACUGUUGCUUCCUGUUCAAGCUGUGUCCAGCUUUUCCCCUGGGGCUCCAGGACCUUCCCUACCUGCACCACCAAACCAAGGGAUUUAUAGCAAAGGCUAAGCCUGCAGUUUACUCUGGGGGUUCAGAGAGCCGAAAGGCUUAAAUAGUUUAAGUAGGUGAUGGGAAGAUGAGAUUACCUCAUUUAGGGCUCAGGCAGACUCACCUCACAUACUACCUGCUCCCUGUGGUAGAGACACCUGAGAGAAAGGGGAGGGGUCAACAAUGAGAGACCAGGAGUAGGUCCUAUCAGUGCCCCCCAGAGUAGAGAGCAAUAAGAGCCCAGCCCAGUGCAGUCCCGGCUGUGUUUUCCUACCUGGUGAUCAGAAGUGUCUGGUUUGCUUGGCUGCCCAUUUGCCUCUUGAGUGGGCAGCCCUGGGCUUGGGCCCCUCCCUCCGGCCCUCAGUGUUGGCUCUGCAGAAGCUCUGGGGUUCCCUUCAAGUGCACGAGGGGCUAGGCUGCUGUCCCUGAGUCCUCCAUUCUGUACUGGGGGGCUGGCUAGGACCUGGGGCUGUGGCCUCUCAGGGGGCAGCCUCUCCAUGGCAGGCAUCCCUGCCUUGGGCUGCCCUCCCCCAGACCCCUGACCACCCCCUGGGUCCUGUCCCCCACCAGAGCCCCAGCUCCUGUCCAUGGGGGAGCCAUCACGGUGUUCGUGCAGUCCAUAGCGCUUCUCAAUGUGUGUCACCCGGAACCUGGGAGGGGAGGGAACACUGGGGUUUAGGACCACAACUCAGAGGCUGCUUGGCCCUCCCCUCUGACCAGGGACAUCCUGAGUUUGGUGGCUACUUCCCUCUGGCCUAAGGUAGGGGAGGCCUUCUCAGACUGUGGGGCACAUUGUGUAGCCUGACUUCUGCCGGAGCUCCCAGUCCAGGAGGAAAGAGCCAAGGCCCACUUUUGGGAUCAGGUGCCUGAUCAUUGGGCCCCCUACCUCAGCCUCCCUUUCCCUGGAGCACCUGCCCCACCUGCCCACAGAGAACACAGUGGUCUCCCCUGUCCGGGGGCGGCUUUUUCCUUCCUUGGAGCGUCCCUGACGGACAAGUGGAGGCCUCUUGCUGCGGCUGCAAUGGAUGCAAGGGGCUGCAGAGCCCAGGUGCACUGUGUGAUGAUGGGAGGGGGCUCCGUCCUGCAGGCUGGAGGUGGCAUCCACACUGGACAGCAGGGAGGAGGGGAGUAAGGGUAACAUUUCCAUUUCCCUUCAUGUUUUGUUUCUUACGUUCUUUCAGCAUGCUCCUUAAAACCCCAGAAGCCCCAAUUUCCCCAAGCCCCAUUUUUUCUUGUCUUUAUCUAAUAAACUCAAUAUUAAGAUGUUAGUGACCAUAUGUUCUUCCUCCCAGGGCUGUUUGCUAAAAAGAAC